UGUGUAUAUGUGCACCGUCCGUCUGCUGCACUGCGUCUGUUCUGCCAUUUGCUCUAACCAUUUUAAUUUAAAAAAAUUGUGUCACAACUCUGACCAGCAUGUUCUCCUAUGGAACACAAAGUACCUGAAGUGGUAAGAAGAAGCCCAUGUGUGAGGCCCGUGCCCUGGCGGGAGCAGUGAAGGGGCAUCUGACAGGUUACACAACGCGUUGCUGAUCUAUCCAGGACGGCUUCAGGAUGGACUAUAAGAAGGAGGUUCAGUCCCGAUUGGGUCCGGCGCAACCUCAGGGAGUACAUAUAUAGCGGCCUUGGUUUACGACGACGCACAAUGGCACAAAGAAGAACUAAGAGCAGCACUCUGGAGACUGAACAACCUCCUGAUGCGGAAAAUGAAUGGAUCGC